UGGGGAAUUUUGGACAAUGGGCGAAAGCCUGAUCCAGCCAUGCCGCGUGAGUGAAGAAGGCCUUCGGGUUGUAAAGCUCUUUCAGCCGGAAAGAAAUCGCGCAGGCUAAUACUCUGCGUGGAUGACGGUACCGGAAGAAGAAGCCCCGGCUAACUACGUGCCAGCAGCCGCGGUAAUACGUAGGGUGCGAGCGUUAAUCGGAAUGACUGGGCGUAAAGCGUGCGCAGGCGGUUAUAUAAGACAGAUGUGAAAUCCCCGGGCUCAACCUGGGAACGGCGUUGGGGACUGGAUGACUAGAGUACGACAGAGGGAGGGGGAAUUCCGCGUGUAGCAGUGAAAUGCGUAGAUAUGCGGAGGAACACCGAUGGCGAAGGCAGCCUCCUGGGCCAGUACUGACGCUCAUGCACGAAAGCGUGGGGAGCAAACA
rnacentral:rRNA from 1 species